CACGUAGGGGGCAAGCGUUGUCCGGAUUUAUUGGGCGUAAAGAGCUCGUAGGCUGUUCGAUAAGUCGGGUGUGAAACCUCCAGGCUCAACCUGGAGACGCCACCCGAUACUGUCAUGACUAGAGUCCGGUAGGGGAGCGUGGAAUUCCUGGUGUAGCGGUGAAAUGCGCAGAUAUCAGGAGGAACACCAGCGGCGAAGGCGGCGCUCUGGGCCGGUACUGACGCUGAGGAGCGAAAGCGUGGGUAGCAAACGGG
rnacentral:rRNA from 1 species